rnacentral:rRNA from 1 species
AUUGAACGCUGGCGGCAUGCCUUACACAUGCAAGUCGAACGGCAGCACGGGAGCAAUCCUGGUGGCGAGUGGCGAACGGGUGAGUAAUAUAUCGGAACGUGCCCAGUCGUGGGGAUAACGUAGCGAAAGCUACGCUAAUACCGCAUACGAUCUAUGGAUGAAAGCGGGGGAUCGCAAGACCUCGCGCGAUUGGAGCGGCCGAUAUCAGAUUAGGUAGUUGGUGAGGUAAAGGCUCACCAAGCCGACGAUCUGUAGCUGGUCUGAGAGGACGACCAGCCACACUGGGACUGAGACACGGCCCAGACUCCUACGGGAGGCAGGCAGUGGGGAAUUUUGGACAAUGGGCGCAAGCCUGAUCCAGCAAUGCCGCGUGCCAGGAUGAAGG